AUCCAGUGCCCCAGCCCAACCCUUAUCUCUAGUCUUUCAUUCAAUUAGGGAUUAGGCAUUAGGGAAUUUAGAAAGGGGGAUGGUUUCAGAAAGUCAGAAAACGGCAAUACUGCAAUAGUGAAAAAGGUUAUAGCAAAUUGGUGAACGGGAUUGAAGGCUCAAGUUGUUCUUUGGAGCUUAUUGAAUCACAUGUUUGUUACUGUUUAUCUACUGAUGCUACUUGUAUAUAAACUGAGUUUGUUGAUUAGGGAGGGCUUGAGGGGGAUUACUUGCAGAUUUAAUAGACACAUUUACUUGGUUCCUUAACAAACUGGACAUGCUAUAGUUUUAUGGUAUAUGACUGUCUUGUUCGUCUAGCUGACUGAACUAAAGUGUUAAAGGUGAAAUACCAAAUAAACUGCAGGUGGGUGGAAUAUCUCCAUCCAUUCCUUUGAUUUUUCUUUCUGUCUCUAAAUAUUCAAUUUGAUUGUCAUAUCCAAUUUGAUAUUUUAGCACUGGUGGCCGUAUUCUUGAAUCAUUUAGGAGUUCAUUGACUCCUUAAUGUGUGCAAGCUCUUGUUUGUGUUCAAAAUUGGCUUAGAGAAGAGAAGAAUCCUAUUAGUGUUGAAGAAUACUUGGAGUAUCUUGAGAAACUCGAGCUUGAUAUGGAAAAUAAUGGAAGCAGUACUAGCAUUGUUUGAUGUAUAGUUGCAACUUGCAACUUGAGUGGUUCAAGUGCAAUCAUGCCCCGUGCUCCUAAAGUACGCUCUCAUAUUUGGGAACAUUUUGAGGUAAAAGAAGAUAACGGAGAAGUUCGCAAAGUAAAGUGCAAGCAUUGUGGUCGAGUCUAAAAUGUUAAUCCAAAGAGGGAUGGUACAUAUAGUUUAAGGAAGCAUAUUAGGUGUUGUCUUGAGCGUCUUCCUGAAAUCUGUAUUUAAGAAUUAAGACUAGGUUGAUUCGAGACUAUUAGUAUAAACUUGAAUUGAGGGAUGCCCUCUUUGUUAUUUUGUUGCACUGUGUUUAAUUCUGCUACAACUGUUAGAGUCUGCUGCUACUGUUGUGUUCUCUGAGCUUAUGCAUGUAGUGUCUUAAAUUAGUGUGCUGCUUUCUUUU